GACGAACGCUGGCGGCGUUCCUAAUACAUGCAAGUCGAACGCUUUUUCUUUCACCGGAGCUUGCUCCACCGAAAGAAAAAGAGUGGCGAACGGGUGAGUAACAGUGGGUAACCUGCCCAUCAGAAGGGGAUAACACUUGGAAACAGGUGCUAAUACCGUAUAACACUAUUUUCCGCAUGGAAGAAAGUUGAAAGGCGCUUUUGCGUCACUGAUGGAUGGACCCGCGGUGCAUUAGCUAGUUGGUGAGGUAACGGCUCACCAAGGCAACGAUGCAUAGCCGACCUGAGAGGGUGAUCGGCCACACUGGGACUGAGACACGGCCCAGACUCCUACGGGAGGCAGCAGUAGGGAAUCUUCGGCAAUGGACGAAAGUCUGACCGAGCAACGCCGCGUGAGUGAAGAAGGUUUUCGGAUCGUAAAACUCUGUUGUUAGAGAAGAACAAGGAUGAGAGUAAACGUCAUCC
rnacentral:rRNA from 1 species